AUGAACGCUGGCGGCGUGCCUAAUACAUGCAAGUCGAGCGAACGGACGAGAAGCUUGCUUCUCUGAUGUUAGCGGCGGACGGGUGAGUAACACGUGGAUAACCUACCUAUAAGACUGGGAUAACUUCGGGAAACCGGAGCUAAUACCGGAUGAUAUUUUGAACCGCAUGGUUCAAAAGUGAAAGACGGUCUUGCUGUCACUUAUAGAUGGAUCCGCGCUGCAUUAGCUAGUUGGUAAGGUAACGGCUUACCAAGGCAACGAUGCAUAGCCGACCUGAGAGGGUGAUCGGCCACACUGGAACUGAGACACGGGCCAGACUCCUACGGGAGGCAGCAGUAGGGAAUCUUCCGCAAUGGGCGAAAGCCUGACGGAGCAACGCCGCGUGAGUGAUGAAGGUCUUCGGAUCGUAAAACUCUGUUAUUAGGGAAGAACAUAUGUGUAAGUAACUGUGCACAUCUUGACGGUACCUAAUCAGAAAGCCACGGCUAACUACGU
rnacentral:rRNA from 1 species